UUGAAUAUCAUAAAAGUGUUCUACAAACUAUUGAAUUUUAGGAGUACAGGUCAUAUUGGUUUUUGGUUAACAGGUUCAGUUCGGUAGUUUCAAAGACUUUUAUAAACAAAUUUGAAAUACAUACACCAUGAUUGGACAGAGGCAGUUCUUUUCAGUAUUGAGCCCUUAGCGGACCUAAACUAACAUGUUUGGUCUCACUUAAUAGGUUUCGGUUAACUCUGCUAAUUUGCUUAAUUGGAUAUCAUUUAACCAAAUAAUUGGUUAAUUGUUUGGUUUUUCAUUACAAGUAAGAACCUCUUUACGCUUGAUACUAAUAUAAGGUUGCUGCAUUAACAGAGUUUGCAAAUUUGAGGCAACUUGGUAAACUUAGUGCUAAUAUUAUGGUGGCUAAAUUUUUGUCGAGUUUCCUACACUUGCUCCACUAGAAGUUAAAAUUGAUAUGGUUUCUCAAUGACAUUAAGUUCUGUUUUUAUCAGUUAUGGGUUGUUGGUUAUUUGUGUUUACGAUGCAUCAUUGUGUAUUUUGCAGACAUGAAAUCGAACUUGCGGCAGCUGCAAACCACCCUCUUCCAGAUGACGAUGAUGGCGCUUAUGAAUACAGAAAAGAUUGUCAAUCACAUUUACAAUCGACUUCGAAGUUGGUGUUAAAUUUGGGUUGGGUGAGUCUUCAGUGAGCUGUGAGCUGGGAACUGUUGCUGCUAACUUGAAUGAAUUUCAAGCUGUUUCAGAAUAUUUUACUUAAUUACAUUAAUCAUGCUAACAAAUAAGUAAACGGGUCAACCCUAUCAGGGCCAACUUGAGCCUGUUUCAACAAGUUCAACUUGGCACCUCAUAAUUUGUGAUUCUUCGUUGUUGUAAACGAAAGAGAAGCUGCUCAAGAAGUGACAAUUACAAGCUCUUCUUGAUGGCAUGAAUAUCAAUGCACUUGGUCCUAGGCGCUCCAUGCGUGGUAGAAAACCCGUGUCAGGCAUUUUGAUGAUUAUGACCAAUCAAUCAACGAGGUUAUAAAUUUGUUUCUUUGGCAUUUUUUGUUCUAUUCUCUUAGAAGGAAGCAACCGUCAUUUGAAAAUUAGGGCUUAUGACAAGGCUGCAAUCGAGUGUAACUGAAGAGAAGCUAUGACCAACUUUGAGGCCCACACCUAUGAAGGAAGCAUACUUCCCGCAACUCAUCAUGGUAACUUUUAUCCACCAUGAUCAUUGUAUAUAUUAUUGAGCUAACCAUAUAUUUCAUUUAAGAGGUAGCCAUGACCUGGAGUUGUGGUCAUCUACUAAGGAUGUUAUUGGUUGUCAAGAGAAUCCUCAAAUGAAUAGAUUUUACAAUCAGUUUUUAGAAAAACGUAGGAUGAAAAUCACCCCAAAUGUUCUCAAAUGCUUAAAACUCCCAAAUCCUAGGCUUUAUUAGCAAAUCCAGAUGUUAUAUUAGGAAUACAGUUUUGUAAUGUAAUUUAAUCCAUUUAAAAUUCAAGAUAAUAAAACGAAAAACACAAAAAGUGUGAAAGGGUACGCCCAGCCUGGCCGAUUUAAAUGUUUACCAUUUUGACCUGCUCAUUUGUUACCCAGCUUGCUCAAUGCUACUGAAAACAUUUUAUGCUAAUAAGUAAUUUAUCAUUUUACUCGCAUCUAUAUUCUAUAUUAAACUUAUUAAUAAUUUUUUAGCAAUUAAUACCGUUUUGAAUGAUGUUGGUAUUUCGUCCGCAACUAAAUUCUUUAUGGUUAUAGCAAGUUAUACAUCUGCACCAUGGUGAUCACUUAUUCUGUAGGUGGAUGUUGAAAUGUGGUGAUAGACAUAGGUUAUAAGGUCAGAGAAUGUAGAGUUUGGUAGCAGCAUAUGAGGCGGAUGCACAAUUAGCAUAUUUAUCCAGUCUUGGUGCUGACCAAAUGUGGAAUUGCAGCAGUUAUACAAGAGGGCAAUGAUUCUCUUGCCUAUUGUUCCGGCGCGCUCGAGAAUUGCCUUUAAUUCGUUGGUCCGCUACCGUCAGCAUCCCGUCCGUCACACCGCGACACUGCCUUUAAUUCGUUGGUUGCAUUAUUUAAUAACGACUAAAGGAUUUUACGUUUCUGAAGGUAAACCUACUAAAAUAUUCAAUUAUAGGUGAACAGAUGAUAUCGAGGCAUAAAUUUUGGAAUGAUAUGGAAGUAAAUGUUGUUCCAUGUGUUAUUAUAUGGAAUGAAUACAAUUAUUUCUUUGGGAUUAUGGUAAAAAAAGUGGUUUGGCUCAA